rnacentral:rRNA from 1 species
CGGUGGUUUUGGCGAGGGGGAAACACCCGGUCCCAUUCCGAACCCGGAAGUUAAGCCUCUCAGCGCCGAUGGUACUGCAUGGGAGACUGUGUGGGAGAGUAGGACACCGCCGGACU